AGCGAACGCUGGCGGCAGGCUUAACACAUGCAAGUCGAACGGGCAUCUUCGGAUGUCAGCGGCAGACGGGUGAGUAACACGUGGGAACGUACCCUUCGGUUCGGAACAACUCUGGGAAACUGGAGCUAAUACCGGAUACGCCCUAAGGGGGAAAGGUUUACUGCCGAAGGAUCGGCCCGCGUCGGAUUAGCUAGUUGGGGGGGUAACGGCCUACCAAGGCGACGAUCAGUAGCUGGUCUGAGAGGAUGAUCAGCCACACUGGGACUGAGACACGGCCCAGACUCCUACGGGAGGCAGCAGUGGGGAAUAUUGGACAAUGGGCGCAAGCCUGAUCCAGCCAUGCCGCGUGAGUGAUGAAGGCCUUAGGGUUGUAAAGCUCUUUUGUCCGGGACGAUAAUGACGGUACCGGAAGAAUAAGCCCCGGCUAACUUCGUG
rnacentral:rRNA from 1 species